rnacentral:rRNA from 1 species
CCUACGGGAGGCAGCAGUGAGGAAUAUUGGUCAAUGGGCGAGAGCCUGAACCAGCCAAGUCGCGUGAGGGAAGACGGUCCUACGGAUUGUAAACCUCUUUUGUCAGGGAGCAAGGAGCGCCACGAGUGGUGCGGCGAGAGUACCUGAAGAAAAAGCAUCGGCUAACUCCGUGCCAGCAGCCGCGGUAAUACGGAGGAUGCGAGCGUUAUCCGGAUUUAUUGGGUUUAAAGGGAGCGUAGAUGGGUUGUUAAGUCAGUUGUGAAAGUUUGCGGCUCAACCGUAAAAUUGCAAUUGAUACUGGCAGACUUGAGUACAGUUGAGGUAGGCGGAAUUCGUGGUGUAGCGGUGAAAUGCUUAGAUAUCACGAAGAACUCCGAUUGCGAAGGCAGCUUACUAAACUGCCACUGACAUUGAUGCUCGAAAGUGUGGGUAUCAAACAGGAUUAGAUACCCCAGUAGUC